GACCGGGCGAAACCAAAGCGCGGGGGUGUCCAGCAAUGUCGGCUAGGAACCGGGCGCGGGCGGGGUCUCCCAGACGCGCGCGCCAGCGCCCUCGCCCACGAGUGCCCACGCACGUCCACGCACGUCCACGCACGCGCGCGUGUUCCGGCUGCGGACCCAAGGCCCGGCGAAGGAGCUUCCCCCGUCCGAGUUGGUGUCGUCCUCCAGGUGACCAAGUCACGAGGACCUGGCGGGGGCGCGGCCGGGUGCCCGGGAAGUGGGAGCGGGCGCAGCCCUGCGAGAAGGGUCCUGAAGUGCGACCCUUGCGUGGUGGACACGAAGUAGGGUCAGACACUCACGAGGGAUCUGGGGGUCCCGGCCCCUGCGCAGUGAGCGGAGGAGCCGGGAAAGAAUGAAUCUCCUGUCUCCCCACCAGAGUCACCCUGGCUCCACCACAAGAGCCUGAGCAUGACUUACAUUUGAAGUCUGUAUUUGGAAAGAUCAAGAUCUUGAAGUCAAACUAUUUUGAAGUCUCGCCUGUGAAACCCCUGCUUUCCCAGGGUGGAUCCCAGCCGUAUUUAUUCAUUUGUUUCUCUGAGAGUCUCACAGUCCGCCCUGCCCCAGGCGAAUCCACCUUUUGUUAGCACUCCUGUGCUAGUGACUCAUCUACCUUUCCCAGUUCCCAUCAAAAACAUCGUCAUCAGAAUUCGUACCAGUUGAAUCCCAGUCUGAAACUGGUUGGGAGAGAAAGAAACGUUGACAGUUUGAACAGCUGGGCCUUUAUUAAUGUACAACUCACCCGUUUCAAGGGAAACAGCAGAACAGAGGUCAGGUGCCGGUGAGGGGGGCAACCAAAGCAUAGGAGUCCACCCUGAGCCUGCUGCUCUGGGAUACCCACGUGGGGCAGGUUGUGGCUUUGCCUCUGAGAUGGGCCCCUCUAAGCCGGCCAUCUCUGAAAGGACGGGGAGCUCACAAAGAUGAGGGUAAGUCAAGGGCAACACAGAGGCCACUCCUACUUCCUAGUGGUAGCAGAGUUUGCUGAGCUUAGAAGCGUUCGCUGGGACCCCACUUUGGGGGCAUACCUGCUGUUCUUGCCCUGACCACCUUCUGUCUCCCUGUCUCCCUGGGUGCUUUUGGGGAUUCCCCUGUGGACAGACAGCCGGUUCCUCGCUGUGCCCCAGGUGCCCACGUUUUACAAGUGGGAGGUAACAGCUGUGGAAACAAGGCAGGAACAAGGCAGGGCUGUAGGUUCCCACCGGCUCUGCCAGGGAGCCAGCUGCCCUGUGUUGGUAGGAGGGAGUGAUGUCUGCUCCCACCUCCACGUCUGCUACAGAGCAGGGGCUGGAAAGUACUUGACACCUACACACUUAGGAAAUAAGAAAACAAGACUUCAAAAUUAAAGUUGUCAAGUCAAACAAUUAUCACAGGAAAAUUAAUGGCUGCAUAGAAGAUUUAUCAAUAAACAUGGCCCUCACAGAAAGUGGAAGCAACUGCAGUACCCAGGCUCCUCCCACAGCAAGGAGCACUGUAGUUACCAGGGAGUACUCACAGGACAGCAUGUGGGUGCAAAUGCCAUGCGGGUUCCUGGGCCCUUCCCCUGGAGACUCCAGGGGUUCGGAUAGAUGCCUGUAGAACUGAAGGGCAUAGACUUCACAUUAGCCAUCCUGGGGGGUGGGACAGGCAGUUUAAAACUCACCUCUGCAAUUUUCUGUAUCUUUCUGAAUGUAUUCUUGGGGUACUGGGGAUUGAACCCAGGGGCACUCUACCACAGAGCCUCAUCCCCAGCCCUUUUUACUUUUUAUUUUGAGACAGAGUUUUCUAAGUUGCUUAGGGUCUCACUAGUUGCUGAAGCUGGCCUCAAACUUGUGAUCCUCCUUCCUCAGGCUCCUGAGGAUUACAGGAGUGUGCCAUCAUGCCCAGCAAGGAAAAAAAAAAAAGACCUUUUUAAAAAAAAAAAAAACAACAACAAACUUUUGAGCCAGGUGCAUUGGUGCAUGCCUGUAAUCCCAGCAGCUUGGGAGACUGAGGCAGAAGGAUCUCAAUUCAAUGUCAGCCUCAUCAAUUUAGUGAGACCUUGUCUCAAAAUAAAAAAUAAAAAGGCCUUGAGAUGUGGCUCAGUGGUUAAGCACCCCUGGGGCGCUUCCUCAGUACCAAAAAAAAAAAAAUUCUUUUAGGAAAAAAAGUUGUUUUAUUUUAGAAUGUUUUGCAUUUUGAGAAGUCAGUGAUGUUGUGGGAACAUGCUCGAUGUAGUGAAAGAAGUUCAUAAAAUUAGCACUACGGUGUGAUUAAAGUAUUUUUAAAUUCUAUACAUAGAAAAUUAUGAAUGAACACCUAGGCUUUGUUCUUUCAGGCCCUGGGAAGCUCCUUCCCCAUGUCCUGUAAUAAGGGGUGGAGGGAGAUCCCGCAGGGGCACCACAUCCCAGCUCGGGAUGUGUCCUGGCUGGAGCCUAGGGUGCCACACCCACAGGUACUAGGACUUGCUGGGACUCGUGCUGUGCCUUCUCACUCAUGCCCUGGACCCGGUGCUUGACCUGGAAGCUUCUAUGUCCAUCUGCCAAAGGGUCAGCAUGGCACCUCCCUCGCAGAAGGUUUCUAGGUUCCGUGAAGGCGUGCCUGAAGUCCUGGGCACACAGUGGGCCUUUCCGAGUGCAGUGGGCAUUGUCUGUCUUCCUUUCCCACACCUGGAGUGGACUAGAUGGUGUUCGCCAAAAUGUUACAUCCACGCAGGAUCCGCGAGUGUGACCUCGCUUUGGAAGUGAAGUUGGUGAGAGGUUGACUGGUGCUGGCACUAGCAAGUCAACUUGCACUGUUCAUCCUCAAGGACCUGACUGAAGAGAAGCGGGAGGAAGGGCACCGCUGAGUGGCAGCCACCCGCCCGCCUCGGUGGUCAUCUUCCCUUCGUGUUUAGAGGAACAGGAACGCCCAGAAUGCCAGGUGACCUGGAGACAGCAUCGCAGCCACAGUAAGAGAAUUGAUUCCUGCAAGGAUCAAUGACCAUGCUGGUGCCACCAGCUGUGGUAAAAAUGGGUCCCCAGGAGCCCCAUCCCAGCCUCUGCACCUGCAGUCUGGGAGAGACAGAGUCUGGGGACAGCCCUCCACCCCCACCUGUGGCUUGCUGCCCGUCAGGCUCUUUCUUCUCCAUCCAUCUGUCUCCUGAGCUGUUAGCUGUAUUUGGUGGCAGUGGCAGACUUUUCAUGGGCACAGAAAUAAGGUCUUUGCAGAUGUAAUUAGUUAAGAGGAGAUCCUGCUGGACCAGGGGGGGGCCCUGAGUCCAAUGGUGGUGUUCUAAUAAGAGGAGAGGACACAAAGAAAGAAUGGCUGGUGAGGUUGGACAGAGGGAGAAGGCCCAGUGCAGACAGCGGAGACUGGAGCAUGAUUGCGGCAGCCAAAGCCAAGGAGCCUGGAGCCCUCAGGGGGCACGCCCCAGGCAGCCUGUCAGCUGGACCCUGGACUUCAGGCUUCCAGAACGUGAGAAGGAGUUCCUGCUGUGUUGAGCCAGCAGGUCUGUGGUGGUUGUCACAGCAGCCCCAGAAAUGGUACUUCCUCCCUGUUCGUCACAUAUAUGUUCCCGAGCAUGGGAGUUAAGCUGUGCUUUUAAGGAUGUCAUAUGCACACCUGGACUGGCAUGUUUUCAUCAAGUUGAGCCUGGAGUUGAAAGACCAAGGCUUAGAAACCACAGGGCCCCUGAUCAUGGAGUGUUGACACUCUAGAGGACAACAGGACAACCUCAGGUCAGGAAGUGGGUCACUGUGAUGUUGCAGGGAGACCAGAUGUUGGAGUUUAUUAUUUGUGGGACAGUGUGCACCCUUCUGUGCUUGCUGAGACCCAGCAGGCAGUUUUUUUACACACUCAUCAGUGAGGCAGUGUUCUGGUUGCAGGAAACAAACAAAAAUCCCUGCCUGUGGGAGCUGAUAGCAAAAUGUAGUGUCUGUGAAUUUGUAAAAUUAUUGCCUUAAUCAAA